rnacentral:ribozyme from 13 species
AACGAAAACAGAAAACAAAGAAAGGAAAAAGAAAAAAGGGAAAUUUGACUUUCUAUCCCAUGUUGUUCUUUUCUCUCACUUCUUUUUUUCUUCUUUUCUGU